AAUCUCAUAGUGGAGCAACCAGAAUGGGGACUGCAGACUCAAAUCCAGCAGCCAAGAGACAAAGGAGACUCUUGUCUGGAGUCAUUGCGGUGCCAAAGCAUGACCUUAAAAAUGAUAGCAACUUAGCUGGGCGUGGUGGCUCACGCCUGUAAUCCCAGCUCUUUGGGAGGCCGAGGUGGGAGGAUCACCUGAGGACCUGAGGUCAGGAGUUCGAGACCAGCCUGGCCAACAUGGUGAAACCCUGUCUCUACUAAAAAUACAGAAAUUAGCCGGGUGUGGUGGCAGGCACCUGUAGUCCCAGCUACUUGGGAGGCUGAGGCAGGAGAAUCAUUUCAACCCGGGCGGCAGAGGUUGCAGUGAGCUGAGAGCGCACCACUGCACUCCAGCCUGGGUGACAGAGCGAGACUCUGUCUCUAAAUAAAUAAAUAAAUAAAAUAAUAGCACUUAGCUGCUGUGGAAAACUAUAUGACGGUUCUUUGAAAACUUAAACAUAGAAUUACCAUAGGAUCCCUCAAUUCCACUUCUGGGAAUAUACCCAACAGCAUGAAAACAGGGACCUGACCAGAUAUUUGUACAGUCAUGCUCAUAGCAGCAUCGUUCACCAUAGCCAAAUGGUGGAGGCAACCCAGGUGUCCAUUGACAGAUGAACGGAUAAGCAAAAUGGUACGUGUACCCACAGGGAAUAUUAUUCCGCCUUAAAAGAGGAAGGAAAUUCUGACCCAUGCUGUAACAAGGAUGAACCUUAAGGACAUUCUGCUAAGUGAAAUAAGCCCG
rnacentral:lncRNA from 1 species